UUAGCUGAAACCAAACUAGAGGUAAAUCACUGUUAAUGAUUUUAUUGAGUAAUCCUGCUGUU
rnacentral:tRNA from 1 species